rnacentral:rRNA from 1 species
CCUACGGGGUGCAGCAGUGGGGAAUAUUGGACAAUGGGCGAAAGCCUGAUCCAGCCAUGCCGCGUGUGUGAAGAAGGCCUUCGGGUUGUAAAGCACUUUCAGUGGGGAAGAAAGCCUUGGGGCUAAUACCCUCGAGGAAGGACAUCACCCACAGAAGAAGCACCGGCUAACUCCGUGCCAGCAGCCGCGGUAAUACGGAGGGUGCGAGCGUUAAUCGGAAUUACUGGGCGUAAAGCGCGCGUAGGCGGUCUGAUAAGCCGGUUGUGAAAGCCCCGGGCUCAACCUGGGAACGGCAUCCGGAACUGUCAGGCUAGAGUGCCGGAGAGGAAGGUAGAAUUCCCGGUGUAGCGGUGAAAUGCGUAGAGAUCGGGAGGAAUACCAGUGGCGAAGGCGGCCUUCUGGACUGACACUGACGCUGAGGUGCGAAAGCGUGGGUAGCAAACAGGAUUAGAUACCCCAGUAGUC